GCCAUCCAUCGCUGGAUUUGUUUCUCCUUCCAGUUUCUGAACACAGGAUUUGGAGUUAGAAACUCUGGCUUUAAAUUGUGGACUGACCCUCACUGGUUAUGAGAUGGUGAUUCUUUCUGCAUGGGCCCAUUAGUCACUGUUUUAUAAAUCAACUAGACUCUCCUGGGAACGUAGAUGUUCUUUUGCUGAUUUAUACGAAGGGGGGCCUUCCUGUGUUCGCAGGGAUGAUCUCUGUGCUGUUCAGGUUGACUUUAGAGAGUUCCCCCAUUGCCAGGUUUGCAGGCUGAGGAAACAAGAUCACCCCUGAUUUUCUUGGUCAGUGACUGAUUUUUAUCAAGGCGAGGACAGAAUGGAUGCAGGGCUGUGGGUAGGCCACCUCUUCAUGCUGGCAUCGUCAUCAAAAGGCAGCGUGCGCAUGACUCCUGGGGGCUCCAGGAUCAGAAAACAUGGACCAUGUAAAGUGGCCCAUGCUAUCUCUACUGACGAAGGAAACCCUUGCACAAACCAGGAAGCGUGGAGAAGACAGGAGACAGAGGGAUCCACCAGGAAGGGCGGAAAUGCAGCUUCAACACCCUCCCCUCAGGUCAAUUUGAAAUUCUGGAUUCGGCAUCUACUGACCCAAGGGAGUGCACGUGGCAUCCUGUGUGCAGCACCUUCGGACCCAGCUGUGGUAGAACCUGGCACAGCCAGUGGGCCCUGUCACGGUGGCCUGGAGGAGCCCCAGAGGACAGCGACAGGAACCAGGACCCUGGCAGGGUUUAUUUUCCAGUUUCUGGGUAAAGAGGAAAGAACUGAGACUAGGAAUAGAACCUGGAAACCAGCUGCACAUGCAGGUAGAGUCUGGCUGGGGCCCCCACAUGGAUCGCGAUACGUGGGCCACCCUCACAGCAUGACUGAGCUCAAGCCACAUCCGUGCUCCCAGCCACUGCCUGAGCUGGGACCCACUGCCCUCUGCCCCCAUGCUGCUUCCACAGGCAUGUGCAGCCUUGGAUGUGGGCCAGGGCCGGGCAGGGGAUGCUCUGACAGGACAGUUUGGAUAGAUGAAGGUGAAGGGCAUAGAAGCCCUUACUGCAUUCAAGAUGCUAAUUACACUUGCCCAUUUAGUUUUUAGUCAAAAUCAAUUUUUUACUCUCAUUUUCAUUUUAUGCAUGUUGUCAUAAGUGGGAAAAAAGACUGUCUUGUCAGAAUGAUUGAAUCUUCCAUGAAAUGAAAGCCAUUUCCUGAAUACUGUCCAUUCAAGAGAAUAAAAAGGAAGGAGAGUGCCAUGAGCUUCAGAAACUUGGCCUUUACAGUUAUGGCAAUUGGAACACUUCUACCAAUCUGUAUGUUUUCUUAUUUCUGAAAAUUGUGUAAGUAAUAUAAGACCAAUAAUGCUGGCAAAUCUAUUGCAGUCUGAUAAUUUGCAUUGCAGUGUGACAUUGGAAGACAGAGAAUCCCUGCCUAAAAUUUACAUAAUCACA